AUUGAACGCUGGCGGAAUGCUUUACACAUGCAAGUCGAACGGCAGCACGGACUUCGGCCUGGUGGCGAGUGGCGAACGGGUGAGUAAUACAUCGGAACGUGCCCAGUCGUGGGGGACAACGUAGCGAAAGCUACGCUAAUACCGCAUACGAUCUAAGGAUGAAAGCGGGGGAUCGCAAGACCUCGCGCGAUUGGAGCGGCCGAUGGCAGAUUAGGUAGUUGGUAGGGUAAAGGCCUACCAAGCCGACGAUCUGUAGCUGGUCUGAGAGGAUGAUCAGCCACACUGGGACUGAGACACGGCCCAGACUCCUACGGGAGGCAGCAGUGGGGAAUUUUGGACAAUGGGCGCAAGCCUGAUCCAGCCAUUCCGCGUGCAGGAUGAAGGCCUUCGGGUUGUAAACUGCUUUUGUACAGAACGAAAAGGUUUGGGUUAAUACCCUGGGCCGAUGACGGUACCGUAAGAAUAAGCACCGGCUAACUACGUGCCAGCAGCCGCCGUAA
rnacentral:rRNA from 1 species